AAAAAAAUUCUUUUUGAUUGGAAAUUUUUACAAAAUAUACAUAUAAACAUAUCAGAGAACAUGAUAAAAUUAGAAUGAGGUUAAAUUUAAAUAUAGGAUUAAUAGCCAUUGAAAUUGGAGAAUGCUUCUAGAAGUCAUAUUUUAUUGCCCUUGUUUACAAGCUCCUCCCACUGAUGCACCACCUCCAAAUGACCUUGGACUACCUCAGCUUACAAAAGCCACUCCUCUGUUUACAAAUGAAACAGGAACUGCAUUUGUUUUGACAUUGGGAAAAGAUUUAGGGUUGUCUGAAAUGCGAUCUCUUUGUUUACGUAAUUUUGAUAACGAGGUACAGAUUACAUAAUUUAUUAAAAAACAGCAACAUAAUGUAGAAAAAUGAUUGUUUUGCAUUAUAGAGUAGAGACUUG
rnacentral:lncRNA from 1 species